rnacentral:rRNA from 1 species
UACGUAGGUGGCGAGCGUUGUCCGGAUUUACUGGGCGUAAAGGGCGUGCAGGCGGUUUGCUAAGUCUAGGGUGAAAGCUCCCGGCUUAACUGGGAGAGGUCCUUGGAUAGUGGCAGACUUGAGGAGGGUAGAGGAGAGUGGAAUUCCCGGUGUAGUGGUGAUAUGCGUAGAUAUCGGGAGGAACACCAGUGGCGAAGGCGGCUCUCUGGGCCCUACCUGACGCUGAGACGCGAAAGCGUGGGGAGCGAACCGG